UACUGAUGUCAUGACAUAAAGAGUCUUACAUAAUUCAAGACAAAGGCGUCAAGACAACACUAAGACUAAAAACUGAUUUAUUAAAUUAUUGUUUUUUUAUAAUUAUUAUUGUUAAAAUGGAAUAUUUGGCACUGUGCAGCAAA